GCUGGUUAGCUCAAUUGGUAGAGCGCUCCACCUGUAAUGGAGAGGUCCCGGGUUCGAUACCCGGACCAGGCG
rnacentral:tRNA from 1 species